UACGUAGGGGGCAAGCGUUAUCCGGAUUCACCGGGUGUAAAGGGAGCGUAGACGGCGACGCAAGUCUGGAGUGAAAGCCCGGGGCCCAACCCCGGGACUGCUCUGGAAACUGCGGCGCUGGAGUACGGGAGGGGCAGGCGGAAUUCCUAGUGUAGCGGUGAAAUGCGUAGAUAUUAGGAGGAACACCAGUGGCGAAGGCGGCCUACUGGACGGUGACUGACGCUGAGGCUCGAAAGCGUGGGGAGCAAACAGG
rnacentral:rRNA from 1 species